rnacentral:rRNA from 1 species
UACGUAGGGGGCGAGCGUUGUCCGGAUUUAUUGGGCGUAAAGAGCGUGUAGGCGGCCAAGCAGGUCCGCUGUGAAAACUCGAGGCUCAACCUCGAGACGUCGGUGGAAACCGUUUGGCUAGAGUCCGGAAGAGGAGAGUGGAAUUCCCGGUGUAGCGGUGAAAUGCGCAGAUAUCAGGAAGAACACCAAUGGCGAAAGCAGCUCUCUGGGCAUGAUCUGACGCUGAGGAGCGAAAGCAUGGGGAGCGAACAGG